rnacentral:rRNA from 1 species
CAGAACGUCGUGAGACAGUUCGGUCCCUAUCCGUCGUGGGCGUAGGAAAUUUGAGAGGAGCUGUCCUUAGUACGAGAGGACCGGGAUGGACAUACCUCUGGUGUACCAGUUGUCGUGCCAACGGCAUCGCUGGGUAGCUAUGUAUGGACGGGAUAAGUGCUGAAAGCAUCUAAGCAUGAAGCCCCCCUCGAGAUGAGAUUUCCCAACUUCGGUUAUAAGAUCCCUCAAAGAUGAUGAGGUGAAUAGGUUCGAGGUGGAAGCGUAGCGAUACGUGGAGCUGACGAAUACUAAUCGAUCGAAGACUUAAUCAAAA